CUGUUAAAAAGCUCGUAGUUGGAUCAAGAGUCGGACAGUGCACGGUGGCCCUGUUUGCUAGUCUGGCUACGGUCAGGGUAGCGGCAGCGGAACUACCCCGUGCGCCAAACUGUCCGCUCUAACAGGCCGAAGCGGUUCCCUGUGAGUAGGCUCCUUCAUUGGGGCUGAAAGCGCCUACGCAUCAACCACAUGCAUACGGGACGUCGGCCAAAGUUACUGUGAACAAACCAGCGUGUCCAAAGCAGGCUUGCCUGAAUGUUCGAGCAUGGAAUAACAAGGGAUCGAUUCUAUCGGUUCUUUUUGUUGGUUUUUAACCCGAUAAGGAGUAAUGCAGGCCACGGUGUCUGAGGUGGGUUUCCCUAGGCCUCCGGUUUAGGCCCCAUCUAGGCCGUGUCCUUACGGGAUCAAUAGGGACUGACGGGGUCGUAUGUACUUCCGCGUCAGAGGUGAAAUUCUUAGAUCGCGGGAAGACAAACUUCUGCGAAAGCAUUCGACAAGAAUGUCUUCAUUAAUCAAGAACGAGAGUGUGGGGAUCGAAGAUGAUCAGAUACCGUCGUAGUCCACUACUGUAAACAAUGCCGUCUCAGGAUUGAGAGGUGAACAGAAUGACUUUCACAGCACUAACC
rnacentral:rRNA from 1 species